AACUACUGGAAACGGUAGCUAAUACCGCAUAACGUCGCAAGACCAAAGAGGGGGACCUUCGGGCCUCUUGCCAUCGGAUGUGCCCAGAUGGGAUUAGCUAGUAGGUGGGGUAACGGCUCACCUAGGCAACGAUCCCUAGCUGGUCUGAGAGGAUGACCAGCCACACUGGAACUGAGACACGGUCCAGACUCCUACGGGAGGCAGCAGUGGGGAAUAUUGCACAAUGGGCGCAAGCCUGAUGCAGCCAUGCCGCGU
rnacentral:rRNA from 1 species